ACAACGACUCUCGGCAACGGAUAUCUCGGCUCUCGCAUCGAUGAAGAACGUAGCGAAAUGCGAUACUUGGUGUGAAUUGCAGAAUCCCGUGAACCAUCGAGUCUUUGAACGCAAGUUGCGCCCGAAGCCAUUAGGCCAAGGGCACGCCUGCCUGGGCGUCACGCA
rnacentral:rRNA from 1 species